GGAAAACAGACCCAGGAGAUUCUUCAGACCUGCAGUACUUCCUCAUGACCCAGCAGAGAAAGAGCAUAAAUCGGUGCUCAAACAACAUGGAAACAUACAACCUCACAAGUGUCUUUGAAUUCCAUUCCUGGGCUUCUCAAAAGAUCAAGACUUGCAUCCCAUCAUCUUUGGACUGUUCCUGUCAAUAUAACUGGUCCGAG
rnacentral:lncRNA from 1 species